rnacentral:rRNA from 1 species
UCCUACGGGAGGCAGCAGUGGGGAAUAUUGCGCAAUGGGGGAAACCCUGACGCAGCAACGCCGCGUGAAGGAUGAAGGCUUUCGGGUUGUAAACUUCUUUGAUCGGGGACGAAAACUGACGGUACCCGAGGAACAAGCCACGGCUAACUACGUGCCAGCAGCCGCGGUAAUACGUAGGUGGCGAGCGUUGUCCGGAAUUACUGGGUGUAAAGGGCGUGUAGGCGGGAUGUCAAGUCAGAUGUGAAAUACCGAGGCUUAACUUCGGGGGUGCAUCUGAAACUGAUAUUCUUGAAUGUCGGAGAGGAAAGUGGAAUUCCCAGUGUAGCGGUGAAAUGCGUAGAGAUUGGGAGGAACACCAGUGGCGAAGGCGGCUUUCUGGACGAUAACUGACGCUGAGGCGCGAAAGCGUGGGUAGCAAACAGGAUUAGAUACCCUGGUAGUCCACGCUGUAAACGAUGGAUACUAGGUGUAGGAGGUAUCGACCCCUUCUGUGCCGGAGUUAACACAAUAAGUAUCCCACCUGGGGAGUACGGCCGCAAGGCUGAAACUCAAAGGAAUUGACGGGGGCCCGCACAAGCAGUGGAGUAUGUGGUUUAAUUCGAAGCAACGCGAAGAACCUUACCAGGGCUUGACAUCCCUCUGACAGGUAUAGAGAUAUACUUUCUUUUCGAAGCAGAGGAGACAGGUGGUGCAUGGUUGUCGUCAGCUCGUGUCGUGAGAUGUUGGGUUAAGUCCCGCAACGAGCGCAACCCCUGUUGUUAGUUGCCAUCAUUAAGUUGGGCACUCUAACGAGACUGCCGGUGACAAAUCGGAGGAAGGUGGGGACGACGUCAAAUCAUCAUGCCCCUUAUGUCCUGGGCUACACACGUACUACAAUGGCGGUGACAAAGGGAAGCAAGACCGCGAGGUGGAGCAAAUCCCCAAAAGCCGUCCCAGUUCGGAUUGCAGGCUGCAACUCGCCUGCAUGAAGUCGGAAUUGCUAGUAAUGGCAGGUCAGCAUACUGCCGUGAAUACGUUCCCGGGCCUUGUACACACCGCCCGUCACACCAUGAGAGUCUGCAACACCCGAAGUCAGUAGUCUAACCAGCAAUGGGGGACGCUGCCGAAGGUGGGGCCGAUGAUUGGGGUGAAGUCGUAACAAGGUAACCA